rnacentral:rRNA from 1 species
GACGAACGCUGGCGGCGUGCUUAACACAUGCAAGUCGAACGGAAAGGCCCUGCUUUUGUGGGGUGCUCGAGAGGCGAACGGGUGAGUAACACGUGAGUAACCUGCCCUUGACUUUGGGAUAACUUCAGGAAGCUGGGGCUAAUACCGGAUAGGAGCUCCUGCUGCAUGGUGGGGGUUGGAAAGUUUCGGCGGUUGGGGAUGGACUCGCGGCUUAUCAGCUUGUUGGUGGGGUAGUGGCUUACCAAGGCUUUGACGGGUAGCCGGCCUGAGAGGGUGACCGGCCACAUUGGGACUGAGAUACGGCCCAGACUCCUACGGGAGGCAGCAGUGGGGAAUAUUGCACAAUGGGCGGAAGCCUGAUGCAGCAACGCCGCGUGCGGGAUGACGGCCUUCGGGUUGUAAACCGCUUUCGCCUGUGACGAAGCGUGAGUGACGGUAAUGGGUAAAGAAGCACCGGCUAACUACGUG